rnacentral:rRNA from 1 species
UUUGGGGUGGGGUGACUGCGUACCUUUUGUAUAAUGGGUCAGCGACUUAUAUUCUGUAGCAAGGUUAACCGAAUAGGGGAGCCGGAGGGAAACCGAGUCUUAAUUGGGCGUUAAGUUGCAGGGUAUAGACCCGAAACCCGGUGAUCUAGCCAUGGGCAGGUUGAAGGUUGGGUAACACUAACUGGAGGACCGAACCGACUAAUGUUGAAAAAUUAGCGGAUGACCUGUGGCUGGGGGUGAAAGGCCAAUCAAACCGGGAGAUAGCUGGUUCUCCCCGAAAGCUAUUUAGGUAGCGCCUCGUGAAUUCAUCUCCGGGGGUAGAGCACUGUUUCGGCUAGGGGGCCAUCCCGGCUUACCAACCCGAUGCAAACUGCGAAUACCGGAGAAUGUUAUCACGGGAGACACACGGCGGGUGCUAACGUCCGUCGUGAAGAGGGAAACAACCCAGACCGCCAGCUAAGGUCCCAAAGUCAUGGUUAAGUGGGAAACGAUGUGGGAAGGCCCAGACAGCCAGGAUGUUGGCUUAGAAGCAGCCAUCAUUUAAAGAAAGCGUAAUAGCUCACUGGUCGAGUCGGCCUGCGCGGAAGAUGUAACGGGGCUAAACCAU